GGGUCGUUAGCUCAGUUGGUAGAGCAGUUGACUUUUAAUCAAUUGGCCGCAGGCUCGAAUCCUGCACGACCCACCA
rnacentral:tRNA from 1 species